rnacentral:snRNA from 1 species
AGCUUUGUGCAGUGGCAGUAUCAUAGCCAAUGAGGUUUAUCCGAGGCACGAUUAUUGCUAAUAGAAAAAUACUGGACUUGCAUAAAUUUAAGUAUUAAAAAACAGGGCUAAAAUGACAGUUUAACAGAAGAUAAUUUUUUAGUCUGAUACUUAGCUUUGGGGAUGUUUCAGUAGAACA